AUCUAAUUUUAGGGAGGAUAUAAUAUAUAUACACCCAUAGUUUAUGUGACCGUUACGAGACAAAAACUCAAAUGCCAGAGAAGCCAGUGGAAAUGCUUUUUUUUCACGAACAAUACCAAGAGCUUCAUUAAAUGAUACAUAAAGAGUCGGGUUUCUAUGCCAAAGGUAACAAAUGCCAUUUCGUAUACUUAAAUAAAGAGAAAGCCAUGUCGGAUUCUCAAGGAUUUCAGAAAGCAUCUCAGCUUCUAGAGGCGAGAGAGCAUUUGGUGGAAGAUUACUAGCUAUAGCAGAUUCAUA